CGACCAAUGUCUUAAAAAUGGAGAAUUAAAAUAAGGGGGACUGCGUGGAGAAAUCUGCGUAAGCAAUUUGGCCAAAUGCUGGAACAUCCGAGGAUCUUCAAGUACUCAUUCGCGUAAGCGAGUAGUGAAAAUCUUGAAGUGCGGACAAUCAGCAGGGAAGCUUGUUCGAGAACUGGAAGAUGGAAUAUCCAUUUUUGGGAGGACUCGCUCCUCCCCAUCUUUCAGUUCUUGAGCAGAACCCUCAGAGACUACAUGCCAGACUCGUCGAAAGACGAUGAAGAUAUAGUCCGAUCUUCGUAGCGAUACGAAG
rnacentral:ncRNA from 1 species